rnacentral:tRNA from 1 species
GGGAUAGCUCAGUGGCUAAGAGCACUGGCUGCUCUUCCAGAGGACCUGGGUUCAAUUCCCAGCACCCA